AUGGUGAACUUAGUAGCACUACAGAAGCUCUUGCUGCAUGGCCUGAUGAAAAUGGCCGGAGUCGUACCCUACACGGUGGAGAUUGAGCCCGGCACGGUGAUGAACUUCUGGGUCCCGAAAAAAACCCUAAACAAGCCGAAGAAGGGAGAGAAGCCCGAGAUCAUAUCCAAACCCAAAAAGCCGGUAGUGGUUCUGAUACACGGCUUCGCCGCCGAUGGAAUAGUGACGUGGCAGUUUCAGGUGGGUGCGCUGGCCAAGACAUACUCGGUCUACGUUCCCGACCUCCUGUUUUUUGGGGGUCGACGACCGACAAGCCCGACAGGUCUCCUGCUCUUCAGGCCGAGUGCGUCUCUACGGGGCUGAGGAAGCUCGGGGUGGACACGUGUACGUUGGUGGGGUUCAGUUACGGCGGCAUGGUGGCGUUCAAGAUGGCGGAGAUGUAUCCGGAGCUGGUGAGAGUCAUGGUGGUUUCCGGGUCGAUAUUGGCGAUGACGUGUUCGGUGAGAGGUGAUACUAUGAAGAGGCUAGGGUUUGAGUCGUUGUCAGAGCUUUUGCUGCCGAGAACGGUGAAGGGGCUCGAGGCUCUGCUGUCGGUGGGGGCUCACAUGAAGCUGUAUUUUCCCGAUCGGCUCCACAGAGACUUCCUUGAGGUGAUGUUCACGAACAGGAAGGAAAGGGAAGAACUACUUGAAGCUUUAGUCAUUGACACAAAGGAUCCAAACAUUCCCAAAUUCCCACAGAGAAUUCAUCUAUUAUGGGGUGAAAAUGAUCAGAUAUUUAAGCAGGAGCUUGCUCACAAAAUGAAAGAGCAACUAGGAGCAAAUGCAACAUUUAAAGGCAUAAAGAAAGCAGGUCAUCUGGUUCACCUUGAAAGACCUUGUGUUUACAACAGGUGUCUCAAGAGAUUCCUAGCCUCCCUGAAUGAUGUUGGAGCUCAAAGUUAAGAUGAUGUUCCAUCGCU